rnacentral:rRNA from 1 species
UGUCCAACGUUAAUCGGGGCAGGGUGAGUCGACCCCUAAGGCGAGGCCGAAAGGCGUAGUCGAUGGGAAACAGGUUAAUAUUCCUGUACUUGGUGUUACUGCGAAGGGGGGACGGAGAAGGCUAUGUUGGCCGGGCGACGGUUGUCCCGGUUUAAGCGUGUAGGCUGGUUUUCCAGGCAAAUCCGGAAAACUAAGGCUGAGGCGUGAUGACGAGGCACUACGGUGCUGAAGCAACAAAUGCCCUGCUUCCAGGAAAAGCCUCUAAGCAUCAGGUAACAUCAAAUCGUACCCCAAACCGACACAGGUGGUCAGGUAGAGAAUACCAAGGCGCUUGAGAGAACUCGGGUGAAGGAACUAGGCAAAAUGGUGCCGUAACUUCGGGAGAAGGCACGCUGAUAUGUAGGUGAAGUCCCUCGCGGAUGGAGCUGAAAUCAGUCGAAGAUACCAGCUGGCUGCAACUGUUUAUUAAAAACACAGCACUGUGCAAACACGAAAGUGGACGUAUACGGUGUGACGCCUGCCCGGUGCCGGAAGGUUAAUUGAUGGGGUCAGCGCAAGCGAAGCUCUUGAUCGAAGCCCCGGUAAACGGCGGCCGUAACUAUAACGGUCCUAAGGUAGCGAAAUUCCUUGUCGGGUAAGUUCCGACCUGCACGAAUGGCGUAAUGAUGGCCAGGCUGUCUCCACCCGAGACUCAGUGAAAUUGAACUCGCUGUGAAGAUGCAGUGUACCCGCGGCAAGACGGAAAGACCCCGUGAACCUUUACUAUAGCUUGACACUGAACAUUGAGCCUUGAUGUGUAGGAUAGGUGGGAGGCUUUGAAGUGUGGACGCCAGUCUGCAUGGAGCCGACCUUGAAAUACCACCCUUUAAUGUUUGAUGUUCUAACGUUGACCCGUAAUCCGGGUUGCGGACAGUGUCUGGUGGGUAGUUUGACUGGGGCGGUCUCCUCCUAAAGAGUAACGGAGGAGCACGAAGGUUGGCUAAUCCUGGUCGGACAUCAGGAGGUUAGUGCAAUGGCAUAAGCCAGCUUGACUGCGAGCGUGACGGCGCGAGCAGGUGCGAAAGCAGGUCAUAGUGAUCCGGUGGUUCUGAAUGGAAGGGCCAUCGCUCAACGGAUAAAAGGUACUCCGGGGAUAACAGGCUGAUACCGCCCAAGAGUUCAUAUCGACGGCGGUGUUUGGCACCUCGAUGUCGGCUCAUCACAUCCUGGGGCUGAAGUAGGUCCCAAGGGUAUGGCUGUUCGCCAUUUAAAGUGGUACGCGAGCUGGGUUUAGAACGUCGUGAGACAGUUCGGUCCCUAUCUGCCGUGGGCGCUGGAGAACUGAGGGGGGCUGCUCCUAGUACGAGAGGACCGGAGUGGACGCAUCACUGGUGUUCGGGUUGUCAUGCCAAUGGCACUGCCCGGUAGCUAAAUGCGGAAGAGAUAAGUGCUGAAAGCAUCUAAGCACGAAACUUGCCCCGAGAUGAGUUCUCCCUGACUCCUUGAGAGUCCUGAAGGAACGUUGAAG